UUGACAAUUGUCUGUAGGCUCAGAGGUACAAGACGGUAUGAGUUUUGGUCUCCGGCAGGCACCCUUUCGGGCUGGAGGUCCCCCCUGGGACCGCCUGCCAAAGCAACAAGAAUAAAUAGGCAUUGGGUUGGAGUUUUUCAACUCGGUAAUGAUCCCUCCGCUGGUUCACCAACGGAGA
rnacentral:misc_RNA from 1 species